CAAGUCGAACGGCAGCGCGGGGCAACCUGGCGGCGAGUGGCGAACGGGUGAGUAAUAUAUCGGAACGUACCCUGGAGUGGGGGAUAACGUAGCGAAGGUUACGCUAAUACCGCAUACGAUCUAAGGAUGAAAGCAGGGGACCGCAAGGCCUUGUGCUCCUGGAGCGGCCGAUAUCUGAUUAGCUAGUUGGUGGGGUAAAGGCCUACCAAGGCAUCGAUCAGUAGCUGGUCUGAGAGGACGACCAGCCACACUGGAACUGAGACACGGUCCAGACUCCUACGGGAGGCAGCAGUGGGGAAUUUUGGACAAUGGGCGCAAGCCUGAUCCAGCAAUGCCGCGUGAGUGAAGAAGGCCUUCGGGUUGUAAAGCUCUUUUGUCAGGGAAGAAACGGUGGGGGCUAAUAUCCUCUGCUAAUGACGGUACCUGAAGAAUAAGCACCGGCUAACUACGUGCCAGCAGCCGCGGUAAUACGUAGGGUGCAAGCGUUAAUCGGAAUUACUGGGCGUAAAGCGUGCGCAGGCGGUUUUGUAAGUCUGUCGUGAAAUCCCCGGGCUCAACCUGGGAAUUGCGAUGGAGACUGCAAGGCUAGAAUCUGGCAGAGGGGGGUAGAAUUCCACGUGUAGCAGUGAAAUGCGUAGAGAUGUGGAGGAACACCGAUGGCGAAGGCAGCCCCCUGGGUCAAGAUUGACGCUCAUGCACGAAAGCGUGGGGAGCAAACAGGAUUAGAUACCCUGGUAGUCCACGCCCUAAACGAUGUCUACUAGUUGUCGGGUUUUAAUUAACUUGGUAACGCAGCUAACGCGUGAAGU
rnacentral:rRNA from 1 species